UACGUAGGGUGCAAGCGUUGUCCGGAAUUAUUGGGCGUAAAGAGCUCGUAGGCGGUCUGUCGCGUCUGCUGUGAAAACUCAGGGCUUAACCCUGAGCUUGCAGUGGGUACGGGCAGACUAGAGUGCGGUAGGGGAGACUGGAAUUCCUGGUGUAGCAGUGAAAUGCGUAGAUAUCGAGAGGAACACCAGUGGCGAAGGCGAGUCUCUAGACAACUCCUGACACUGAGGCACGAAAGCUAGGGGAGCAAACAGG
rnacentral:rRNA from 1 species